CUGCGAUUGUCGAUGGCAUUGUGCCAAUUGAUGAUCCAGCGCGGCAAGGGUUGGGACCAGAGGACUAGAUCGAGAUCGUCCGACGCAUUGUUCAUAGACGGACGGCGGCAACGGCGGUCCGGCCAUGGAAGGGGCCGAUUCCAAAGGUAAUUCUACCAAAACCUACCUUGUCCGAUUUCUUCACAGAAGGUUCGUGGAAAGUAGUGAAGAGGAAGAAGUCUCGGCGAUCGUCGGCGGCGCAGGCGCCGCCGCCGGCGAUCGACAGAGCAGCCGUGAUCCAGGCCAAUCGGAUCUCGCGUUUGAAUUCGCUGCUUAGCGCUAAUGGGCUUCGUGAGGGCCCGUCCGCUAACAGACCUUUGGGCCAAGGGAAUGAGCUUUGGGAUGGGCCGGGAUUAGCUGGGUUUCGGACCCAGGCAAAACCGGUGGCCAUCGGAGUGCACGGGAUCGCAUCGGAUCGGGAGCUAUCUCAUGCACGUGCAUCGCCUCGCUGCCGAUACGUUGUUUCUAGGGUUCGCCGCCGUGGUAACGUCGGCUUUCCUGCUGCCUUGGUUCGACGUGUGCGGCGGGGGAAUCAGUUCUGUUGUGGCGGUCCGGUGGUAGCCGGCGAGGAAGACAUGCCGCCCAAGGCCCCGCCGCCGGCCAAAGGACCUCCUCCGGCGAAGCCGCCUGCGAGGGCCGAGCAAGGGGGUCCAGCAGCGGUUGUGCCGCCCUUGACUGCGGCUACGGCGCCAGCGCCGGCUACGACGGCCCCAGCCAGGGCUGCAGGGACUGCGCCGGUUGCGACGGCCACCGCCAGGGCUGCGGCGCCGCCACCGCAUGGGGCCGCGCCACCUCCGAUGCAGCGGCCGUGGCCUCGUCAAAUGGCGGCCGGGCGGGGAGGAGCUGCCACCGGUGCCGCCGGCGCGGGACGGGUGCGUUUGCGGGGGACAGCCGCAACCCUCCACGUGGUCAGUGGGGCGAUGAUGGAUACGAUGCUUAUGGACAGGGUCUUCAUCGGGGUUCUCGUCUACCGGUGGUGGGCGAGGUUAUGCUUGGACAGAUCAUGGUACUGCUGGCCAUGGUUUUCAAGGGCGGCCGGGGAACUUUGUUGAGGGCGCGGUUGGCCCGACCCGCUUCCGGGGCCGCUUCCGUGGUGGUCGUGGUGGCUAUCAGCGUCCUCCGCGUAACCUGCCUGGUGCCACGGGUUCAUAUGAUACUGAGAUGUCCACUGAUGUUGCUGGUCUAAAUCAGGCGGUGGUGGAGACGGCUAAGGCUCUCGCCGAUGUGUCUGUACCGAUGAUCGUGCAACCGGAUGAAACUGAGUCUGAUAAAGGUUCGGAGAAGGCCGGAGGUGACAAGCUGUCCAAGUGGGCGGCUAAGAAGAAAAAACUUGUCUGUUUCCGGUGCGGGGAGACGGGUCACUUCAUGGUUGAUUGCUCUGCUGAGUUAUGUGAUAUUUGUCGGAAACCUAAGCAUGUGGCGGCUGAGUGUCCGCUUCUUCUCGGCCCCAAACCGACACUUAAUAUCUAUGGGCUAUGUUGCUCGGAGUUGAUGUUCUUCGAGUCACCAUACGUGGCUCCGGUGGCCCCUGUCAUUGAAACCUCCUUCCUGGGGUGGUUAAGGUGGUCACUGGACCGCUCAUUGAAGCACAUAUUAUUCAGCAGUUAAGGGAGUUGGCUUCGGGGAAUUUCAAAUGGUCUUUAUUGAAACUUUCAGAUAAGUCUUACAAAGUGGAUUUCCCCUCUAAAGAGGAUCAGAAGAGCAUUCUAAAGUUUGGUAUGAGUCGGGUUACAGGAACUAGCUUCGUGUUGCAGUUUGAUGAGUGGAAAAAGAAGGAGCCACAGGGCACCCCUCUGACCCAGAUCUGGGUUCGUUUUUCGGGGGCACCCUCAGAGCCCUUGGAUGAUUUCUUUGUCACAUGGAGCUUGGGGUCCUUGCUCGAUAAGACGGAGCAGGUGGAUAUGCCCUUCACUCGUGCUCACGGUGUGGCUCGCUUGCUGGUUAGUGUGGCUAACAUUCAGUUCUUGCCGGACGUGGUCAGAUGGUGUCAUGAGGGUAUUGCUUACAUGUUGAAUGUCGAGUAUGAGGACCCGGACUUGUUUUAGGAUUUUGAGGAGGUGCUUCCUAUGGAUACUUCUGAGGGGGGAGGCGCUUCUGGAAACCAUGGAGAUGAUGCACCUAGUGAUGGUGACAGGGGUUCCAGGCCUGUGGAUUCGUCUAAGCCAGCAGAGUCGGCUCAGGGGAAAAUGCCGGUUUCAGCACCGUCCAACAUGCUUCAACUUGGUUCUGUAGGCGCCCCCUCAUCUUUGGAGUGAUCGUGUGGAUCUGGACGACCCGUCUGAGCAUGUGCCUCCGGUGAUUUCGGAGGUCGUGUGCGUUGAUGGUCCGGAAGGAUUAGCUGCACAGGAGGUUCACGCUUAUCCUCCUUCAUCGCCGGUGCCUCGGCAGGUGGUGAUGACUUAGCAGGAAGACUCGGCGGAGUUGGCUGGGAGUGCGGUCAGGCCCUCUCCUACCUUGCCAGCGCCUUGUUCGAUGGAGCUCAAGGCCCGCACAACUCCCUCUACCUCCGAGGCGGGUGGUGCCAUGCUGGGAGGGUCGGCCGCGGGGGGUGCUUCACCGACUAUUACUGCUACUGUGGCUCGGGCGGCGUCAUCUCUUUAUGUCGCCGGUGUGGCUGAGCAGGUGGUGGUCGGCUCGCCGGCCCCCGUUCUAGGUGGGCUGGGUGGCGCGACAGCUGCUACUGCCUCCUCACCGGUGAGCGUCGUGUGGGCGGUUCCGGAGCCAGCUGAUGGCGGGUCGCCCGUGGACGGGCUGCCGGUGUCGCCGCAUCGCUCUUCUCCUACUCUGGUGCCCGCGACCCGAGACGCCGGUGUGGGGGGAUGGGUGGGCGGCCCUUCCCCUUGCAGGGCUUCUCGCGAGGAGGUCAUCGCCUUUGGGGGUAUCCCGGACUUUGCUACCCAGGGGGGGCGGAUCAGCGGGAGGCUGCAGGAGCAGCCGGACGUCGAUGAUAUACAACUGAGGUGUGCAUUGAGGGCUGCCAAGUUGCAUAACUUCGAGACCUCCACCGGUAUGUCUGUUAUUAAGUCAAAUUCCAUUUUGCAUUUCUCUGAUAAUGAAAUCAUACAUAAUGCAAAUCAAUUAGGAAUUUCACUUGGUAAUAAUGAUCAUCAAAUUGCCAAAUCGGUUAAUGACAUUCUUGAUUUGGAAGCUGAGCGUGCGGUAGAUAUGAUUCGUCACAUUGCCGCAGUUAAACCUAUAAAUGAUUCGGAGAUUGAUGCGCUUGGGGUGAGGGUUCUUGAUGACAUGUGUGCCGAUCUUGACCCUGCAUGUCUAGAGACAGAGGAUGAUACCAAUCCUCAGACGUCUCUUCAUGUAGAUGAGCCUUUAGUGCUUGAUGCGGAGAAUGAGGGUGGUGACAUGGUUAAUGGUCAAACAAAGCCUAAGCGGACAUGGAAGCGAAAGGUCUAUCCAGUCUCCGCAGUGCGUAGGAGUGCUAGGAUCCGUACUGUCAAAAACUUUCAUGAUGACUUAUGAAAGGCAUUUUCUGGAAUAGCAGAGGUCUUAGAGACUUGGCUAAAAGGAGGUUUCUAGCGGAUGCUUCACUCGAACAUCAUUUAGAUUUUAUUGCUUUGUCUGAGACUGGAAGAAGCAAUUUCACAUCUCAAUUUCUUGCCACUUUGUCUGGGGGGUAGACUUUGAUUGGCAUUGCCUCCCACCUCGAGGAAGAUCCGGCGGGGUCUUACUUGGGGUUAAGUGUGAUACGUUGGAAGUCCGGAGUGUAGUCAUGGGCGAGUUUGCUGUUAAGUUUCGAGUUAGAACUAAGGCAGAUGGGUUUGAUUGGGCCUUGGUGGCAGUUUACGGAGCUGCUCAACCAGAACUCAAGCCAGAUUUUUUGGCGGAUCUGGUGCGCAUCUGUGGUAAUGAACAGCUACCUCUCUUAGUGGGCGGGGAUUUCAACAUAAUCCGAAGGCAAGAGGACAAGAAUAAUGCCAAUUUUGACGGUAGAUGGCCGUUUAUGUUCAAUACUAUCAUCGAAAGUUUGGAUCUCAGAGAGAUCCAGCUUUCGGGUAGGAAAUUCACUUGGGCUAAUUCGUUACCGGUUCCCACUUUUGAGAAACUGGACCGCGUGCUAGCUAGUGUCGAGUGGGAACAGAAGUUUCCCUUGGUAAUGGUGCACGCUUUGACCCAAGGUGUCUCGGAUCAUACACCGUUACUAGUCGACUCCGGAGUUCGAAAUUUCGUGGGUAACAAGAACAUUUUCUCGUUUGAACUUGCAUGGUUUGAAAGAGAAGGGUUCCUCGAGAUGUUAGCUAGAGAGUGGGCUAAGGACUCGGGAGGGAGGUCACCUAUCGACAGGUGGCAAUCCAAGAUUCGUCAUCUCCGACGGUUCCUUCGUGGCUGGGCUAAACACACGCAUGGGAUUUAUAAGGUGGAGAAGGAGCGACUCCUUCUGAUUAUUCAAAACCUCGAAGCUAAAGCAGAAACUUCUAUCUUGGAUUCCAAUGAGUUGGAAACAAAGAUAGAUGCAGAGAUGCAGCUUAAAAAGCUUCUCCGUGAGGAGGAAUUGAAGUGGGCAUUGCGAGCCAAGGUUUGCAAAAUCGUAGAAGGCGAGGAUAACACUCAAUUCUUUCACAUGAUCGCUAAUGGGAAGCAUCGUAAAAAGAGAAUCUUCCAACUAGAACAAGAUGAAGGGACGAUAGUUGGUCAGGACAAUCUCAAAGAUUACAUCACCAAUUAUUAUAAGCAGUUGUUUGGUCCCCCGGUAGAGACUUUCGUGUCGAUGGAUGAGUCUAGGGUUGAGGAUGUGCCUCAGCUAGAGACUGCCGAGAAUGAGCUCUUGACUGCUCUGUUCUCGGAGAAAGAGGUGUUUGAGGCUAUUACUCAGAUGGAGAAUAAUAAGGCCCCAGGACCGGAUGGGUUUCCGGCAGAGUUUUAUAAGAAGUGUUGGCAUUUUAUCAAGGGAGAUUUGAUGCCCAUGUUUCAGGAGUUUUUUGAGGGACAACUUCAAUUGUUUAAACUAAAUUUUGGGACAAUAACCCUUCUUCCUAAGAAGACUGAGGCUGUUCGGAUUGAGCAGUUUAGACCCAUAUGUCUGCUAAAUGUGAGUUUUAAAAUCUUCACCAAGGUGGGGACAAAUAGGCUUACACAAAUAGCACACUCAGUAGUUCAGCCAUCCCAGACUGCUUUCAUACCGGAUAGAAACAUCCUGCAAGGGGUUGUGGUCUUGCACGAAACGCUCCAUGAAAUCCACUCCAAAAAACUUGAUGGCGUAGUUUUUAAAGUGGAUUUUGAAAGAGCAUAUAAUAAAGUCAAGUGGCCUUUCCUUCAACAAGCGUUGCGUAUGAAAGGUUUUCAUCCGGCCUGGAGAAACCAGAUUGAUUCCUUUACGCAAAAAGGGAGUGUCGGGAUUAAGGUGAAUGAUGACGUGGGUCACUAUUUCCAAACACACAAGGGGCUGCGGCAAGGAGACCCUAUGUCACCGAUCCUGUUUAACAUAGUGGCUGAUAUGCUCACUAUUUUAAUAGGUCGGGCAAAGGAUGCAGGACAGGUAGGUGGCCUGGUUCCACAUCUAGUUGACGGCGGGUUGUCCAUUCUUCAGUAUGCUGAUGAUACAAUCAUUUUUAUGGAGCAUGACUUGGCGAAAGCAAGGAACAUGAAGCUGCUGUUAUGCUUAUUUAAACAAUUGUCUGGGCUUAAAAUCAACUUCCACAAGAGCGAAUUGUUUUGCUUUGGAAGAGCCAAUGAUGAACGGGAGUCGUAUCAACAAUUGUUCGGAUGUGAAUUGGGUUCUUUACCGUUUUCGUAUUUAGGUAUACCCAUUCAUCAUCGUAAGCUAUCUAAUAUUGAGUGGAAAUGUCUUGAGGAUCGGUUUGAAAAGAAACUGAGCUGUUGGAAAGGAAAGCUCAUGUCAUACAGAGGUCGAUUAAUUUUGAUUAAUUCGGUCCUCACUAGUAUGCCUAUGUUUCUCUUAUCCUUUUUCUUGGUUCCGGUCGGAGUUAGGAAAAGGUUAGAUUUCUAUCGAUCUAGAUUCUUUUGGCAAAUUGAUGAGCUUAAACGAAAGUAUAGACUUGCGAAGUGGGACAUUAUAUGCAGACCUAAGGACCAAGGUGGCCUAGGUAUAGAAAAUCUGGAAGUCAAAAACAUAUGUAUCCUUAACAAGUGGCUUUUUAAGCUGUCAUCUGAGACGGAGGCCACUUGGGCUCAGAUUUUGCGCAAUAAGUAUCUCUAUGCUAAAACUCUGGCUCAGGUGAAUGUGAGGUCUUCAGACUCACCAUUUUGGAAGGGUUUGAUGAGAGUUAAGCAACUCUUUUUCAACAGGUCUAAAUUUAUUGUUGGGAAUGGCACAACGACGAGGUUUUGGGAGGAUACGUGGCUUGGGGAGACCCCACUUGCACUUCAAUAUCCUUCUUUGUAUAACAUUGUCCAACGUAGAGAAGCCUAUGUUGCUAAUGUUUUACAAUCCGUCCCCCUCAAUAUCAGUUUUAGACGGACACUAGUUGGAAAUCGUUGGGAGGCCUGGCUCCAUCUUGUUCGACGUUUAAUGGAUGUCUGGCUGUCUCAAUAGCCAGAUCAGCUGCAUUACUAAGAACGGUGUGUUCUCGGUCAAAUCAAUGUAUCUAGAUGUCAUUAACUCUUCCGUCAUCCCCACAUCAUUACAUGUUUGGAAAGUUAAGGUACCCUUGCGUAUCAAAGUGUUUAUGUGGUUUGUGCAUAAACAUGUCAUUUUGACUAAGGAUAACCUUGCAAAACGUAAUUGGGUGGGCUCGUCUCGAUGUAGCUUUUGUGAUCAUAACGAAAACAUUAAAUACCUCUUUCUAGAUUGUCCUUUGGCUAAGAUUCUGUGGCGGUCGGUUCAUAUUGCGUUUAAUAUUGAUCAGCCCACCUCUAUUAGCAUGUUAUUUGGAACAUGGCUUGACGGGGUGGAUUCUGACAUUGCAAGACACAUUCGGGUUGGCGUUUGUGCGCUUUUGUGGGCAAUAUGGAACUGCAGGAAUGACUUAGUCCUUAACCGAUCAACAAACAUUCACUUUUUGCAGGUUAUCUUCAGGGCCACGGCGUUCAUCCGUAUGUGGUCGCUACUCACUCCGACGGAGGCCAGGGAGCGUUUGGUUACUGCGUCUACCCGAUGGGAGAUGGUAGUUCGGGAUAUUUUCAACCGGUUUGGAUGGUCAUGUAAUAGGAUAGGCAUGUAGUGCUCCUAUUGUUUUGCCAGCCGGUUGUGGCUUUGGGCCUUUCUUCUUUUCAGCUUUUGUUGAUGAUUGUACUACGACCUUCCGAGACUUUGUUACUGGAUUAUUCGUUUAAUAAUAUGAGCCGUAUGCAUCGUUCUAAUGCAGAGGCUGGGGUAAAUCCCCUUUUCCAAAAAAAAACUAAUUAC
rnacentral:lncRNA from 1 species